rnacentral:rRNA from 1 species
AGAGUUUGAUCCUGGCUCAGGACGAACGCUGGCGGCGUGCCUAACACAUGCAAGUCGAACGAGGUCGCCUUCGGGCAAUGACCAAGUGGCGAACGGGUGCGUAACACGUGAGGAACCUGCCCCGAAGACUGGGACAACCACGGGAAACUGUGGCUAAUACCAGAUGCCCUCCGCUGAUCGCAUGAUCGGCAGAGGAAAUGCUCCGGCGCUUCGGGAGGGCCUCGCGGCCUAUCAGCUUGUUGGCGAGGUAACGGCUCACCAAGGCAUCGACGGGUAGCUGGUCUGAGAGGACGAUCAGCCACACUGGGACUGAGACACGGCCCAGACUCCUGCGGGAGGCAGCAGUGGGGAAUCUUGCGCAAUGGGCGAAAGCCUGACGCAGCAACGCCGCGUGGGGGAUGAAGGCUCUCGGGUUGUAAACCCCUUUCAGCAGGGACGAAAUUGACGGUACCUGAAGAAGAAGCCCCGGCCAACUACGUGCCAGCAGCCGCGGUGACACGUAGGGGGGCGAGCGUUGUCCGGAAUUAUUGGGCGUAAAGAGCUCGUAGGCGGUUUAGUAAGUCAGAUGUGAAAGGGUGGGGGCUCAACCCCUAAGACUGCAUCCGAUACUGCUAUGACUA